rnacentral:rRNA from 1 species
GUAAGUAAUAUUGGUCAAUGGACGAAAGUCUGAACCAGCCAUGCCGCGUGAAGGAUGAAGGCCCUCUGGGUUGUAAACUUCUUUUAUCUGGGACGAAAAAAGGGUAUUCUUACUCACUUGACGGUACCAGAGGAAUAAGCACCGGCUAACUCCGUGCCAGCAGCCGCGGUAAUACGGAGGGUGCAAGCGUUAUCCGGAUUCACUGGGUUUAAAGGGUGCGUAGGUGGUUAUUUAAGUCAGUGGUGAAAUCUCCGAGCUUAACUCGGAAACUGCCAUUGAUACUAUUUACCUUGAAUGCCCUGGAGGUAAGCGGAAUAUGUCAUGUAGCGGUGAAAUGCUUAGAUAUGACAUAGAACACCAAUUGCGAAGGCAGCUUACUACGGGGUGAUUGACACUGAGGCACGAAAGCGUGGGGAGCAAACAGGAUUAGAAACCCCGGUAGUCC